CCAAACUAUUGUUUCAUUCUCCAAAAUAUAAUAAAAAUAAUAACUUAAUCGUCUUAUCCUAGUUAUUAUUUUAAAAGGGAUAUUAAUUGUAAAAGCGUUGUUUACCAAAGAAAGUGGAACACCGUUUGUUGCCGAUCGGCCCUCUCCGAUCUGAUUCGAUAUUCUUUCUGGUAGGCUUUCUCCGAGACCUUUUGCUUUCUUCGUGAGAAGGUUUGUUGUGUCCAUCUCAAAUUGUUCCCGUCGAAACCGAAACCUUUCCUGGUCUAGUCUAAUUGGUUGAUCGCUUCAAACCCCUAAUUUCAGUGGCCUUAUGCAAAUACACACCCAGCCAUGCCCUGUAUUAAACUUCGUUUAGCUUUUGGAUCCCUGUCUGUCUGAUUAGGACUCGUUUUUUACUAAGAAAAAAAAAAAAAAAAGGAGAGGAUGGGGGCCUCCGAAGAAGAAGAGAAUAGCACAUUGUUUCCCAUUUUCACUCUGUUGGUCAAGUUGACCCGUGCUGUCUCCAAGAAACAAAGGGUGUGACCGCUCUGGCAAAUAUAAGAGAUCCCGUAAAUUUAAUUCCACUCAUCUCAAUAUUGAUACUCUCCUCUUAACUUGUUGAUAUUUUCUCCGCCGCAGAUCUCUAACUUGUCUACUUGUGCUACUAUGGGUCGUCAUGAUUUUCUUAAUUUAUUACACUAAGAACAUGAGCCGUGAGUAUACUUGGCUUGGAACGUGGAGUUUCAGAUUCCGACAUUUAUAGAAGAAGGGCUGUCCAUUCAAUACCAUCCUCAUCCAGGUCCAAAUGCUUUCUUCUCUUCUCGUUGAUACUUCCUCCCUUUUUUUUUUUUAAUUAUUAUUACGGCUGCACCUCACCUCACAGUUUUAGGCCAACAAAUAUUUUGUGGAGUCCAUCUCUAAAGCAUACCAGGCUUUGACUGACCCAGUAUCCCGUGAAAACUUUGAAAGGUAUGGGUCAUCCAGGGCUUUCAAAUGGGCAUUGCUCUUCCUCAAUUUCUCCUUGACAUAGAUGGAGCAUCCGGUGGCAUAUUAUUGCUCUGGAUUGUCGGUCAAAGGCGGCUUGUGAGCUAAGUUUGGACCCCAAGAACAUGAAGCAAGAGCAAGCUAAAGUCUUGGAAGCAGCAUCCUGCCAUAGUGAAGACGGAGCUGUUGAUACAGGCCCAACACUAGUCCUAAAUGGCAGGACAUUCUAGGGCAAUAUUCUAUGGUGAAUCUCGAGCUCUUUAACAUUGUGGAAGAGGUGAAGAAAGUCUCCAAGGCCUUUGUUGUGCUUCUAGUCAAUGCUGAGAAUGCUCAAAGUUGGGAUCGGGUGAAAAAAUCUUGCUUUACAGGAAGGUUAGUUGUUCUAUGUAUAACUUUCUGUUUUAUUAAAAAUGAUCAUUUUUCUUGGACUUGUAUUAUCGUGUUAUUUAAAUUAUUUUUAGUUUCUAAACAAAUUCUUGUUUUUUGAAUUGUAUAGUGUUCGUUAAAAGACCAAUUUUUUUGGAUUGGUUUGAUGGAAAUAAGUGAUUAUUGACAAACUAA